GACGAACGCUGGCGGCGUGCCUAAUACAUGCAAAUAGAACGCACAGGAUGCACCGUAGUUUACUACACCGUAUUCUGUGAGUUGCGAACGGGUGAGUAACGCGUAGGUAACCUGCCUGGUAGCGGGGGAUAACUAUUGGAAACGAUAGCUAAUACCGCAUAAGAACAUUUACUGCAUGGUAGAUGUUUAAAAGGUGCAAAUGCAUCACUACCAGAUGGACCUGCGUUGUAUUAGCUAGUAGGUGAGGUAACGGCUCACCUAGGCGACGAUACAUAGCCGACCUGAGAGGGUGAUCGGCCACACUGGGACUGAGACACGGCCCAGACUCCUACGGGAGGCAGCAGUAGGGAAUCUUCGGCAAUGGGGGGAACCCUGACCGAGCAACGCCGCGUGAGUGAAGAAGGUUUUCGGAUCGUAAAGCUCUGUUGUUAAGGAAGAACGAGUGUGAGAAUGGAAAGUUCAUACUGG
rnacentral:rRNA from 1 species